UACGUAGGGUGCGAGCGUUAAUCGGAAUUACUGGGCGUAAAGCGUGCGCAGGCGGUUCGUUGUGUCGGUGGUGAAAUCCCCGGGCUUAACCUGGGAAUGGCGAUGGAUACUGGGCAGCUAGAGUGUGUCAGAGGAUGGUGGAAUUCCCGGUGUAGCGGUGAAAUGCGUAGAGAUCGGGAGGAACAUCAGUGGCGAAGGCGGCCAUCUGGGACAACACUGACGCUGAAGCACGAAAGCGUGGGGAGCAAACAGG
rnacentral:rRNA from 1 species